rnacentral:rRNA from 1 species
GACGAACGCUGGCGGCGUGCUUAACACAUGCAAGUCGAGCGGUAAGGCCCUUUUGGGGGGUACACGAGCGGCGAACGGGUGAGUAACACGUGGGUGACCUGCCCUCAGCUCUGGGAUAAGCCUGGGAAACUGGGUCUAAUACUGGAUAUGACCUUUUCCUCGCAUGGGGUUGGGUGGAAAGUUUUUCGGCUGGGGAUGGGCCCGCGGCCUAUCAGCUUGUUGGUGGGGUGAUGGCCUACCAAGGCGACGACGGGUAGCCGGCCUGAGAGGGCGACCGGCCACACUGGGACUGAGACACGGCCCAGACUCCUACGGGAGGCAGCAGUGGGGAAUAUUGCGCAAUGGGCGGAAGCCUGACGCAGCGACGCCGCGU